GGAGCAUCCAAAGGUACAAAAGGAGUAAUUUCAGAGAAUUUCAAUUGGCAUCACAGAAUCACUGAUUCUGUGAAUACUUCACUGUUCCAUUUCCAUUUUCUGUUUAGAAGGAAAGAGAAAACUGGGAGUCAUGAGACUUCUAUUUCUGCUUGGCUCUGCAGUGUAUGCUCCCUAGCUAUCCCACCUUCAACAUUAGAGUAAGGCCUUCAGUUUUGGACAAUCUCUCUCCUGUUUAUUUGAUUUAUUAGCUACAAUUCCAAUUGUAUUGUGCUAUAAUAUCUAGUAAAUUAAUUUUCUCCCUUAGCUCGUUGCCACUGUUUUGUUUUUAGACCCAUCAUAGGGCGUGGGUCCAUGGGUCCAGGUCGAACCAGGCCAGAGCUGUGACCAUGCUGUACCUGAAUAACCGUGUAACAGGCACUAAGUGCACUGAGUAGGACUUCUGCUCCUCCGUACGUUUUUGUUGAGUUUGUAAUAUAGAGUUGGUUGUAUUGAAACGGAGUUUAAUUGUAACUUUCCUAAAAUCAGAAUGCUGUAAUGUCAUAAUUCCAAAGAUGCUCACUGUAUGUUUCCCAUUUACAAGUAUUUAUAGCUGACCUACUGUUACCAAAUCCUUGCUAAUUUUAUAUUUACUUUUAUUCUUUAAAAGAUACAACUGUUAAGUGAGAAGAUGAAAAAUUCAUUGUGCUCUGCAGAGAAGAAAGGCAAUUUUGUUUGUAUGAAUGGCAGAACAGCCCCAUGGCAGGAUUCGUAGGGAGGCUAAUGCCCUGUUGAAGAAGAGAAAUCCAAACCGUCACAGAAAAUUCAAAUAAAAUGUUAUUCAUACUUUUUCUUCUCUGA